UACAGAGGGUGCAAACGUUGCUCGGAAUUAUUGGGCGUAAAGCGCGUGUAGGCGGCUCGUUAAGUUGGUCGUGAAAGCCCAUGGCUCAACCAUGGAAGUGCAACCAAAACUGGCGAGCUUGAGUUCUGAAGAGGAUGGCGGAAUUCCCAGUGUAGAGGUGAAAUUCGUAGAUAUUGGGAGGAACAUCGGUGGCGAAGGCGGCCAUCUGGGAAGAUACUGACGCUGAGACGCGAAAGCGUGGGUAGCAAACAGGAUUAGAUACCCUGGUAGUCCACGCUGUAAACGAUGAUCGCUAGAUGUUGCGGGUAUUGACCCCUGCAGUGUCGACGCUAACGCAUUAAGCGAUCCGCCUGGGGAGUACGGCCGCAAGGCUAAA
rnacentral:rRNA from 1 species